rnacentral:misc_RNA from 1 species
CUCAAUUAACUCAUUUAUGACAUCACGGAUUCCAAAUUCAUAGAAAUGAUCGUAAAAUAUUACAGGCGUUCCAGGGUGGGUUAAAAUAUAUGCAUAUCCUUGAGUAAGCUUGUCCCGAGGAAAUGGCCAGUGGCCCUGUGUGGAUCCAGUAUCAUGAUUCUCCAAAAAUGUGACAGCACGUGAGGGCCACCAUCCCAUCACUCCGGUUGGCUUGCCUUGAGGAUCAAUUAACCUCCAAUAUUGGUUAUGCAAAGCAGAAUGCAGUAUACCCUUUGUUGUGACAUCGAAUGCUGAAGAG